rnacentral:rRNA from 1 species
UACGAAGGGGGCUAGCGUUGCUCGGAAUCACUGGGCGUAAAGCGCACGUAGGCGGACUUUUAAGUCAGGGGUGAAAUCCUGGAGCUCAACUCCAGAACUGCCUUUGAUACUGGAAGUCUUGAGUUCGAGAGAGGUGAGUGGAACUGCGAGUGUAGAGGUGAAAUUCGUAGAUAUUCGCAAGAACACCAGUGGCGAAGGCGGCUUACUGGUCCGGUUCUGACGCUGAGGCACGAAAGCGUGGGGAGCAAACAGG